rnacentral:rRNA from 1 species
AUGGGAAACAUGUUUUGGUAUACGACUCGCAAAGAGCAGGCUCAAUGUGCAGAGAACAAGGUGUAUGCAAGAGAUAGUUUGUGCCUGCGCGGGGUCACCGUUGAAGGAGAACAGCCGGUCUUCGAGGUGUGGUUGCAAUGCAAUGAUAAGGCUGCUCCGAUCAAAGGAUGCGGGUUGGUACAUAUCAGAGCACAAAGCAGGGCACAACCAUCCACUGUCCAUUACAUGUGGCCAGAAAAUGCAUUGAAAGUCGCACAGGCAUAUAGACAGAUGCACCAAGGAUCUUGUGAAGCAGCUUAG